rnacentral:rRNA from 1 species
AUUGAACGCUGGCGGAAUGCUUUACACAUGCAAGUCGAACGGCAGCACGGGGGCAACCCUGGUGGCGAGUGGCGAACGGGUGAGUAAUACAUCGGAACGUGCCCAGUCGUGGGGGAGAACGUAGCGAAAGUUACGCUAAUACCGCAUGCGAUCUACGGACGAAAGCGGGGGACCGUAAGGCCCCGCGCGAUUGGAGCGGCCGAUGUCAGAUUAGGUAGUUGGUGAGGUAAAGGCUCACCAAGCCGACGAUCUGUAGCUGGUCUGAGAGGACGACCAGCCACACUGGGACUGAGACACGGCCCAGACUCCUACGGGAGGCAGCAGUGGGGAAUUUUGGACAAUGGGCGCAAGCCUGAUCCAGCCAUUCCGCGUGCAGGACGAAGGCCUUCGGGUUGUAAACUGCUUUUGUACGGAACGAAAAGGCUCUGGUUAAUACCUGGGGCUCAUGACGGUACCGUAAGAAUAAGCACCGGCUAACUACGUGCCAGCCGCCGCCGUAA